GAUGAAGAACGCAGCGAAAUGCGAUAAGUAAUGUGAAUUGCAGAAUUCAGUGAAUCAUCGAAUCUUUGAACGCACAUUGCGCCCGCUAGUAUUCUGGCGGGCAUGCCUGUCCGAGCGUCAUUUCAACCCUCAAGCCCCCGGGCUCGGUGUUGGGGAUCGGCGAGCCUCCGCGCCCGCCGUCCCCUAAAUCUAGUGGCGGUCUCGCUGUAGCUUCCUCUGCGUAGUAGCACACCUCGCACUGGGAAACAGCGCGGCCACGCCGUUAAACCCCCAACUUCUGAACGUUUGACCUCGGAUCAGGUAGGAAUACCCGCUGAACUUAAGCAUAUCAAUAAGCGGAGGA
rnacentral:misc_RNA from 1 species